rnacentral:rRNA from 1 species
UACAGAGGGUGCAAACGUUGCUCGGAAUCAUUGGGCGUAAAGCGCACGUAGGCGGCUCUUUAAGUCGGGGGUGAAAUCCUGGAGCUCAACUCCAGAACUGCCUUCGAUACUGAAGAGCUCGAGUCCGGGAGAGGUGAGUGGAACUGCGAGUGUAGAGGUGAAAUUCGUAGGAUAUUCGCAAGAACACCAGUGGCGAAGGCGGCUCACUGGCCCGGUACUGACGCUGAGGUGCGAAAGCGUGGGGAGCAAACAGGG